rnacentral:rRNA from 1 species
UACGAAGGGGGGCUAGCGUUGCUCGGAAUGACUGGGCGUAAAGGGCGCGUAGGCGGAGUGCUUUGUCAGACGUGAAAUUCCAGGGCUCAACCUUGGGGCUGCGUUUGAGACGGGUGCUCUUGAGUUCGGAAGAGGGUCGUGGAAUUCCCAGUGUAGAGGUGAAAUUCGUAGAUAUUGGGAAGAACACCGGUGGCGAAGGCGGGUCUCUGGGCAGUAACUGACGCUAGGAGCGAAAGCGUGGGGGAGCGAACAGG